rnacentral:rRNA from 1 species
GGACGAACGCUGGCGGCGUGCCUAAUACAUGCAAGUUGAGCGCUGAAGGUUGGUACUUGUACCGACUGGAUGAGCAGCGAACGGGUGAGUAACGCGUGGGGAAUCUGCCUUUGAGCGGGGGACAACAUUUGGAAACGAAUGCUAAUACCGCAUAAAAACUUUAAACACAAGUUUUAAGUUUGAAAGAUGCAAUUGCAUCACUCAAAGAUGAUCCCGCGUUGUAUUAGCUAGUUGGUGAGGUAAAGGCUCACCAAGGCGAUGAUACAUAGCCGACCUGAGAGGGUGAUCGGCCACAUUGGGACUGAGACACGGCCCAAACUCCUACGGGAGGCAGCAGUAGGGAAUCUUCGGCAAUGGACGAAAGUCUGACCGAGCAACGCCGCGUGAGUGAAGAAGGGUUUCGGAUCGUAAAACUCUGUUGGUAGAGAAGAACGUUGGUGAGAGUGGAAAGCUCAUCAAGUGACGGUAACUACCCAGAAAGGGACGGCUAACUACGUG